rfam:Bombyx mori DNA, contig: Bm_scaf1_contig1024, strain: p50T/Dazao, build 2, whole genome shotgun sequence.
UUAGCUCAUAUUUGUAUGGAAUGGGAUCGUUUGCGUACGUUUGCCGCUAGGGGCGCUGUUCCAACUGCAUACAAAAUUGGGUUA